rnacentral:rRNA from 1 species
GUAGUCAUAUGCUUGUCUCAAAGACUAAGCCAUGCAUGUCUAAGUAUAAACACCUUUAUACUGCGAAACUGCGAACGGCUCAUUAUAUCAGUUAUAAUCUACUUGAUCGUAUCCUCUUACUUGGAUAACCGUAGUAAUUCUAGAGCUAAUACAUGCAAAAAGACCCGACUGGUGACGGAAGGGUUGUAUUUAUUAGGUCCAAAAUCAAUACUGGCUUUACGGUCAGGUAACCUAUUGAUGAUUCAUAAUAACUAAACGAAGCGCAGUGAAUUUAUUUCGGCGCUGAUACAAACGAGUUUCUGCCCUAUCAACUUUCGAUGGUAGUAUAGGGGACUACCAUGGUCGCAACGGGUAACGGGGAAU